AUACUUACCUGGCAGGGGAGAUACCAUGAUCACGAAGGUGGUUCACCCAGGGUGAGACCCAGCCACUGCACUGCGCUGUGCCGACCCCUGCCAAUUCCCCAAAUGUGGGAAUCUCCACUGCAUAAUGUCUGGUAGUGGGGGACUGUAUUUGCACUCUCCCCUG